rnacentral:rRNA from 1 species
UACGGAGGGUGCAAGCGUUAAUCGGAAUUACUGGGCGUAAAGGGCUCGUAGGCGGCUAGCUAAGUCGGAUGUGAAAUCCCCAAGCUUAACUUGGGAACUGCAUCCGAUACUGGAUGGCUUGAAUCCGGGAGAGGGAUGCAGAAUUCCAGGUGUAGCGGUGAAAUGCGUAGAUAUCUGGAGGAAUACCGGUGGCGAAGGCGGCAUCCUGGACCGGCAUUGACGCUGAGGAGCGAAAGCUAGGGGAGCAAACGGG